GUCAGGGAGAAGCUAUAAAGAUUGACAAAAUACUUCCAAGGGAGCCUAAGAGUGGUGUAUUCAAUGGUCUUUGUCAUUUGGGCAAACCAAAACAAAAGAGGAGCAAAAGAUCAAGACAUUGUAAUUU